rnacentral:rRNA from 1 species
GAUGAACGCUGGCGGCGUGCCUAAUACAUGCAAGUCGAGCGAACAGAUAAGGAGCUUGCUCCUUUGACGUUAGCGGCGGACGGGUGAGUAACACGUGGGUAACCUACCUAUAAGACUGGGAUAACUUCGGGAAACCGGAGCUAAUACCGGAUAACAUUUGGAACCGCAUGGUUCUAAAGUGAAAGAUGGUUUUGCUAUCACUUAUAGAUGGACCCGCGCCGUAUUAGCUAGUUGGUAAGGUAACGGCUUACCAAGGCGACGAUACGUAGCCGACCUGAGAGGGUGAUCGGCCACACUGGAACUGAGACACGGUCCAGACUCCCACGGGAGGCAGCAGUAGGGAAUCUUCCGCAAUGGGCGAAAGCCUGACGGAGCAACGCCGCGUGAGUGAUGAAGGGUUUCGGCUCGUAAAACUCUGUUAUUAGGGAAGAACAAAUGUGUAAGUAACUGUGCACGUCUUGACGGUACCUAAUCAGAAAGCCACGGCUAACUACGUG